ACAACAAAUACUCUUUAAUACAUGAACUUAAUCAUCAAUCCUUUGACUUAAGAGGAAAACACUUUUCAUGGAAGACCCCUAAGGAUUCCUAUGUAGUACAAUUAAAAUGCAGAAAUAUUUGAGAACAUAGUUUUGUGCCCUGGAUGGGUCAAUAAAAUAAUGUAUAAAUUGUUAAAUGUGAAUUAAGAACUUUCUGUAAACAUCAGAUUAGGCUCUAUUCCCUGUCAGAGAAUACUGACUUUGAUUUGUGACUUCUAUCCUCACUAAUAAUGCUUUUUUCCUCUUACAUACAUCCUAGCCUGGAUUGUCUUACAUCAUUCUAUAGCAGUCAAUGUGGUUAUUGUACAACUUCAUUUUCAAUGAAAGCCAAGAGAAAAUAAAUCUCACAUCUAUCCUUCUGUCUCUUUUUCCCUCUCUCUCUCCACAUAUAAAGGAAAAUCAUUAAAAAUAAAUAACAAAGUAUACUUAACCCAGCCAAAUCUUGGCAGUUGAUAUGUAUAAUAUUUUAAGACAGAAAAAGAGAGCAGUAGAAAUGGAGGAAAAUAUUGCAUCCUAAAUUCCUUCAAAAAUUAAAAUGCAAGUUUGG
rnacentral:lncRNA from 1 species